GAAAUUCAAAGGAAUUGACGGGGCCCGCACAAGCGGUGGAGUAUGUGUUUAAUUGGACGCAAACGCGAAGAACCUUACCAAGCCUUGACAUUGAUCGCAAGGAGUAGAGAUAUUCUGUUCUUCUUCGGAAGACGAGAAAACAGGUGGUGCACGGCUGUCGUCAGCUCGUGUCGUGAGAUGUUGGGUUAAGUCCCGCAACGAGCGCAACCCCUAUCUUCUGUUACCAGCACGUAAGGGUGGGGACUCAGGAGAGACUGCCGCAGACAAUGCGGAGGAAGGCGGGGAUGACGUCAAGUCAUCAUGCCCCUUAUGGCUUGGGCUACACACGUACUACAAUGGCUCUUAAUAGAGGGAGGCGAAGGAGCGAUCCGGAGCAAACCCCAAAAACAGAGUCUCAGUUCGGAUUGUAGGCUGCAACUCGCCUACAUGAAGCAGGAAUCGCUAGUAAUCGCAGGUCAGCAUACUGCGGUGAAUACGUUCCCGGGCCUUGUACACACCGCCCGUCACACCACGAAAGUCAUUCACACCCGAAGCCGGUGAGGUAACCGCAAGGAGCCAGCCGUCGAAGGUGGGGGCGAUGAUUGGGGUGAAGUCGUAACAAGGUAACAAUCGAAUUCCCGCGGCC
rnacentral:rRNA from 1 species